rnacentral:rRNA from 1 species
UACGAACUGUGCGACCGUUAUUCGGAAUCACUGGGCUUACAGGGUGCGUAGGCGGCGUGUCGCGUCGGGAGUGAAAGACCGGGGCUUAACCCCGGUUCUGCUUCCGGUACGGGCAUGCUGGAGUGUGGCAGGGGAGACUGGAAUUCCUGGUGUAGCGGUGGAAUGCGCAGAUAUCAGGAGGAACACCGGUGGCGAAGGCGGGUCUCUGGGCCAUUACUGACGCUGAGGAGCGAAAGCGUGGGGAGCGAACAGG